rnacentral:rRNA from 1 species
AGUGAACGCUGGCGGUAGGCCUAACACAUGCAAGUCGAACGGAAGCACAAUAAGCGCUCGCCUCUACCGGUGGCGAGUGGCGGGCGGGUGAGGCAUACAUCGCAUACUUCUUUUUCGUGGGGGAUAACGUAGGGACACUGCCGAUACUACCGCAUAUGAUCUACGGGUGAAAGCAAGAGAUAUUCGCAGCUUUGGUGUUUCAUUUAGACGGUGUCGGAUUAGCUAGUUGGCGUGGUAAAGGCACACCAAGGCGACGAUCCGUAGCUGGUCUGAGAGGAUGAUCAGCCACACUGGAACUGAGACACGGUCCAGACUCCUACGGGAGGCAGCAGUGGGGAAUAUUGGACAAUGGGCGCAAGCCUGAUCCAGCCAUACCGCGUGGGUGAAGAAGGCCUUCGGGUUGUAAAGCCCUUUUGUUGGGAAAGAAAAGCAGCAGGUUAAUACCCCGCUGUUCUGACGGUACCCAAAGAAUAAGCACCGGCUAACUUCGUG